rnacentral:lncRNA from 1 species
GUAAAGUUUUAAGCAAUAAUCAUAUAUCGUUUAUGAGAUAUGGCGUGACAUGUGAAAACCCAUCCCCCUUUUUUACAAAAAACUCAAUAACUCUAAAAUAAAAUUUUGAAUCAUCACCAAAAAGUAUACAGAUCUUUGGAUUAAUAUAAUUAAGAAGUGUGUGAAAUUUAAAGUAAUAAUCAGAAAUUGUUUUUGAGAUACAGCGCGACAUGUGAAAAAUACACCCCCCCUGUAUGGGGUUUGGGGGGUUGGAAGGCACACUAUAUUAAUAAUACAUGGGUGAUGGGUAUCAGAGCAACUUUUCACACUAUAAUGCACUAUAAGUCUCAAUUACAAUUGUCUGGGUGGCGGGUGCAGACAAAAAGUGCCUUCCAACCCCCCCAUACAUUUUUUUCUGGAAUAGCCCUUAUAAAGU